rnacentral:tRNA from 1 species
GGGGGCUCAGUGGCAGAGCACUUGCCUUGCAUGCAUGAGGCCCUGGGUUCGAUUCCUCAGCACCA